UAAGUCCUAUAAUUCUUCAAACAUUAUCUAAUAAAAAGCUAAAAAAUAAUUAUAGUACCUUAGCUUUUACCAUGUGCCAGACUCUGUGUUGGUUGGUUUAUAUGUGAUUAAGGCUCUUUACAACCAAAUGCAGUGGGCAUUAUUAUAACUCUUUAUUCUACAAUUGAGGAAAGUGAGACUUAGAAACUUGAAAUAAAGUGUUUGAACUGGAUCUUUGUGAAACCGAAUGCUAAACUUGAACUACUCUGCCAUACUGACUCAUUCCUUUCAGAGUCAAAGCAAAUGCAUGUAAAAAGGACCUCCAGGCACCAUCUGCUUUGUUUAAACCCAAACUAAACUGUUGCCAGCUGAAAAAUAUAUGAGCACAUAGUAAUAUUGGAAGCAGACACUUUAAAGUGAGGUAUGGGGAUUCCAACCAAGAUUUUACUUCUGACAAUGCUACUUGCCUUUAUGUCCCUCAUUUCUCUGUGGGAAGCCGAUGUAGAGAAACAAGCACUGUUCUUUAAUUGAAUAUGAUGUAAGAUGUGCCAGCAUUAUGAAUCACAAGACAAUGAAAUAUUUUAUGUGGCUUUAAAGCUCUUGCGCCUCAGGGGAGAAUACAUUCCUGGUCAAUGACGUAUUUUGAGGUUGUGUAUUUAUUCUACCUUUUUUAAGUUAUAUAAAAGCACUUUUCCUAUAACCAUUAAUGCUAUCCUUUUCAUCAAUCAUAUGCAUCGCCAUGACAUUACCUUUGAAUUCAUUCUUUUUCUCUUUGAAUAUAUGAAUCCCUAGGAGUGUCUUUUUUAACAAACACCUCUCAUAAUUACUUGAAGACUCAAUCUGAGCUGAUCUUUUAUUGUUCAUAUUCUAUCUGCUUGUCUCCCAAAUUUCCUGGGACUAUUUCAGUAGAUGUUCUAGGUCUUUCUUCCUUGCCUUUUAAAUUAUAUCACUUAUAAGAACAUAUCUCCUUGGAGUUGAAGCCCAUGAAACACAGCAGUGCUGUCAGAGCUAUAGAGAGAAUUAAGAAGGGGGAAUGGAGCGUGCGCUGUCUCUUCAGGUGAAGAAACUGAGCCAGAAGAAAUUAAAUGACUUGACCAAGAUUACACAGUUUGAAAGAAACAAGCCAAGACAAAAAUAAAAUUGAAAAAAUUUUUCAAAGUAAGUUUCUCCUUUCAACAUUUUUCAAUCAACAUGUAUUAAGUACCCACAAGGUACUGGCACUCUAUGAAGUACUAGGGUGUAGAAAGAUGUAAAAUCGGGGAAACUUUUUUUCUGGGCCCUAGUAGAAUUUAAAGGACAGAUUAUAUACUUAACUAUUAAGAUUCAUUCAUUUGUUUAUUUGUUUAUUCAUUUAUGGCAAUUUUCUGGUUUUUGAGAUCUGCCCUUAAAGGAAAGUUAUGGUGAAAAAUCUGUCAGGGGCUAUUAC